rnacentral:tRNA from 1 species
GGGGGCGGAUGAGUCCCGGUGGGCUUUGCGGACUUCAAAUCCGUUGGGGGGCACUAGUAGUGUCUUCGGUGGGUUCGACUCCCAUACGCUCCCGCCA